GGAGCGGGUCGGACGGUCGCCGGGGCAGCGAUGCCCGGGAGGAAGGUCCGGACUCCAGAGGGCAGGGUGCUGGCUAGCGGCCAGGCGCAGCAAGCGGGUUCUCCGGAGCCCGCCCAAGGCGACGGACAGUGGCACAGAGAACAGACCGCCGACGUGGCCGCGAAAGUGGCUGCGGGCAAGGGUGAAACGGUGGGGUAAGAGCCCACCGCGUUCCCGGUGACGGGAACGGCACGCCAAACCCCACCCGGAGCAACGCCGAAUAGGCACGCAUGCGGCUCCCGCCGCGACGGACGCCCCUCCGUGCGUGCGGGUUGGUGGCUCGAGCCCCCGGGUGACCGGGGGCCUAGACGAAUGAUCGUCACGCCGGGAAACCGGCGCACAGAAUCCGGCCUACAGACCCGCUCCAUCC
rnacentral:RNase_P_RNA from 2 species